rnacentral:rRNA from 1 species
AUGGCCUGCUGGUUGGGGGCAGCCUACAGAGUGGCGGCAGCGGGGGUCUUGCGGUCUGAGCGGCAACGAUUCAGCCUUCCUCGAGCGCCGACGGCGGCAAAGAGGGCCAGCUUCUUGGAGCAGCAACUAGAGGAAGCAGCCGGCAGCGCUCGCGCUGUCCAAGGGUGUGUGGCUAGCCCAACUACUGCUAAGGUGAUAGAUAACCAAAUGGAGAGUGAAGUCGCAAUGGGCUACACGAUGACUCAAAUCUGUGAUAGGUUUAUUGAGUUCUUCAUGCAUGAGAAGCCAGAAACAAAGGACUGGAGAAAAAUAUUGGUUUUCAGAGAGGAGUGGCAAAGAUACAGACCGCACUUCUACAAGCGUUGCCAAGUGUGUAUAGAUGUGGAAACUGACACUUCUGUGAAGCAAAAGUUGAUUGUACUCGCUAGAAAAGUAAAGAAGAUCGAUGAUGAAAUAGAGACGCACAUGGAACUCUUCACAGAGCUCAGAGAGAAUCCCACUGAUAUCAACGCUAUUGUCGCAAGACGACGAAAGGAUUUUACUGGAGACUUCUUCCGCAAUCUCAAUUUUCUUGUAAAUGCUUACAACGGCCUUGAUGAGCGAGAUGCAAUUGCCAGGCUUGGGGCCAAGUGUCUAUCUGCAAUUCAUGCAUAUGAUUGCACACUCCAGCAGUUGGACAUUGAUUCUGCUCAAUCAAAGUUUGAUGAUAUAUUGAAUUCUUCUUCACUAGAUGAUGCGUGUGACAAGAUAAAAGGAUUAGCUAAGGCUAAAGAACUUGACUCAUCUUUAGUUCUUCUGAUUAAUAGAGCCUGGGCUGCUGCAAAAGACUCUAAAACUAUGAAGAACAAGGUCAAGGAUAUAAUGUAUCAUAUUUAUACAACUGCAAAGGAAAGCCUCAAAAUCAUCUCACCUCCAGAGAUGAAACUUCUGAAGUACCUACUGAAUAUUGAAGAUCCCGAAGAGAGAUUUGCUGCUCUCGCGUCUGCUUUCUCUCCAGGAGAUGAGCACGAAGUCAAGGAUGAAGAUGCUCUUUACACAACUCCCAACGAACUCCACAAGUGGAUCAAAAUGGUGCUAGAUUCGUACCAUCUCAACAAGGAGGAGACGGAUUUCAUGGAUGCCAGAAGGAUGAGCGACCCGGUUAUCAUCCAGCGAUUGAUUCUUCUCAAAGAGACGGUCGAGGAAGAAUACAUGAAGCAAUACAUAAACCCUGAGGACCAAGAAUCAGAGGACAGGGAAGAACAAGAAUUUUGA